rnacentral:rRNA from 1 species
AGCCAGACUCCUACGGGAGGCAGCAGUGAGGAAUAUUGGUCAAUGGGCGGGAGCCUGAACCAGUCAAGCCGCGUGAGGGAAGAAGGUACAGCGUAUCGUAAACCUCUUUUGUCAGGGAACAAAGGCGGGGACUAGUCCCCGGAUGAGGGUACCUGAAGAAAAAGCAUCGGCUAACUCCGUGCCAGCAGCCGCGGUAAUACGGAGGAUACAAGCGUUAUCCGGAUUUAUUGGGUUUAAAGGGUGCGCAGGCGGCCGGUUAAGUCGGGGGGAAAGGGCGGGGGCCCACCCCCGGCGAGCCGUUGAAACUGGCGGGCUGGAGUUGGAGAGAAGUACGCGGAAUGCGCGGUGUAGCGGUGAAAUGCUUAGAUAUCACACAGAACACCGAUUGCGAAGGCAUCUGACGAAUCGGAGAUUGACGCUGAUGCACGAAAGCGUGGGUAUCGAACAGGAUUAGAUACCCCAGUA